rnacentral:rRNA from 1 species
GACGAACGCUGGCGGCGUGCCUAAUACAUGCAAGUCGAACGCAGUGGGGACGGGUGAGUAACACGUGGGUAACCUCCCAUCAGAGGGGAUAACACUUGGAAACAGGUGCUAAACCGAUACUGAUGGAUGAACCCGCGGUGCAUUAGCUAGUUGGUGAGGUACCGGCUCACCAAGGCCACGAUGCAUAGCCGACCUGAGAGGGUGUGUGGCACUACUGGGACUGAGACAUGUCCCAGACUCCAACGGGAGGCAGCAGUAGGGAAUUGUCGGCAAGGGAGGAAAGUCUGACCGAGCAAAGCCGCGGUAGUUAAGAAGGUUGUCGGAGCGUAAAACUCUGUUGUUAGAGAAGCGGGAUCUAACCAGAAAGCCACGGCUAACUACGUGCCAGCAGCCGCGGGAAUAC